UCACUGAAUCUAGAUUGGGGAAGGAGGUAGGCCCUCCGACUUCCUACGUGAAGGUGAUUGUUAUCUUGAGAAAAACUUUAAAAAGCAUUGUUGAAACUAGAUUGGGGAAGGAGGUAGGCCCUCCGACUUCCUACGUGAAGACGAUGUUUUAAGGAAUAUCAUUGAAUCUAGAUUGGGGAAGGGGGUAGGCCCUCUGACCUCCUACGUGAAAAUGUUGCUCCUUAAAUAAAGAACUUAAAAUGUGCAUAUGGCAAAAGAACAAAGAUUCUCAAAAACUCCCAUCUCUCUUAUAUGAAUUGUAGAAGGAAUUUUUCUUGGAGCAAGAAAAGGGUUGGACUUCACACACACACUCACUUGAAACUUGAUUGCUGGGUAGAAUAAAGAUUUCAAGAAAUACUUGAGUUUGUGAUUAGUGUACAUUUUGGGAUUUAAGCCCUUGAGGAGACAUGUGCUUUAAUUAAUUGUCAUUUGAUUUAAACUAUUGAUGC
rnacentral:lncRNA from 1 species